UACGUAGGGGGCAAGCGUUGUCCGGAUUUAUUGGGCGUAAAGAGCGUGUAGGCGGCCAGACAGGUCCGUUGUGAAAACUCGAGGCUCAACCUCGAGACGCCGAUGGAAACCGUCUGGCUAGAGUCCGGAAGAGGAGAGUGGAAUUCCCGGUGUAGCGGUGAAAUGCGCAGAUAUCGGGAAGAACACCCGUGGCGAAGGCGGUUCUCUGGGACGGUACUGACGCUGAGACGCGAAAGCGUGGGGAGCGAACAGG
rnacentral:rRNA from 1 species